ensembl:lncRNA
UCCUGCUCAUGGCUAAACUGCAGAGCAAAGAACCGGGCAUCCUGGUUUUGGUCAGAGAAUGUUUUCCUUAAUAGGAACCCUCCUCUCCCUCUAAAUGCUUUUGUUGUUUGGCACGAGCUCAGCACGUCUGUGUGUUGCAAAGCUUGGGACAAGUGAGAAGCGGUGCACGAGGCCAAGCAGGGAGAAUCACAGCCCAACCCACAGGGCUGGUAGCACUGUGCAGUGCAGCCAAGCAGAUGGAAUGGGUGCUUUUGGGACCUGGAGUUCAGCAUCAGCUCUCAGCCAAUGGUUUCAUUUGGGCCACACGAUGCUCAGCUCACCGCUGUGCUUAGAGAACACAUCCCUGCCCCAUGGACAUCCAGGGUGACGGCUGGGUGUGCUGUGUGACAAACCAGGAGACAGGGAGGGCAUGGGGACAGGGAGGGCAUGGGGAUAGGGAGGGCAUGGGGACAGGGAGAGCAUGGGGACAGGAAGGGCAUGGGGACAGGAAGGGGCAUGGGGACAGGUAGGGCAUGGGGACAGGGAGGGCAUGGGGACAGGUCACCCCGCAGCCACCCAUGGGGCUUCUCCUAAUGGCACGUGGCUCAACCCGGUGCAUCCUCACUGCAUCCAGGACAGUCGCUGCCCCUCUCCAUGUCCCAAAGCCCACCGUCCCCGAGGUCCCCGAGGUGCCCGGCGGUGGCACGGGGUGACCCGAGCGGCGGAGGGGCGCGUGCUGCCUCUGUGUGGUCCCCGACCAUCUGGAGGUACUUACAGCAAUCCCGCAGCAAUCGUGAAAAGAUCAAAACUCGUCAGGCCAACCUUGAAUCCCAGCGCAUUUUUGGCAUUUUUGAGGACUGGUGUCU